AAUCAAUGGAGAAAAGUUAAUAUCGGGCUUCUAAGUCAUCUCUAAACAGGAUCAGUCAACUGCAGCUUCCUUGUCCUUGAGUAUACAGACGAUACUGACACGUAGCAACUGGCAGCUGCCCCGCCUCCUCUGACGUCUCUUACCCCAUGUCCUGUUCAGGCUAUCCUACGUCUAUCUCUCAGCGUGAUUGGAGGGUGUGGAGUAUUCCUCGACUUCUUUCGUCUAUUCUUUUACUUUCAUCCUAGUUCUCGCUGUUCUGACGGUCAUCAAUCUGGCAAGGGAUAGCAAAUAGAGGUACCACCUACUUUUUGUAAAAACAGACAAAACAAGAGGGGAAAUAUCGCUGAGGCUUCAGUGUGUGACCCAUAUACAGAUACAAGAGAAUGGAUGGCAUGAGGAAAUGGUA